rnacentral:rRNA from 1 species
UGGGGAAUAUUGGGCAAUGGGCGAAAGCCUGACCCAGCAACGCCGCGUGAGGGAAGAAGGUUUUCGGAUUGUAAACCUCUGUCCUUGGUGACGAAGGAAGUGACGGUAGCCAAGGAGGAAGCCCCGGCUAACUACGUGCCAGCAGCCGCGGUAAUACGUAGGGGGCGAGCGUUGUCCGGAAUGACUGGGCGUAAAGGGCGUGUAGGCGGCAGUAUAAGUCCGGAGUGAAAGUCCUGCUUUCAAGGUGGGAAUUGCUUUGGAGACUGUACAGCUUGAGUGCAGGAGAGGUAAGUGGAAUUCCCAGUGUAGCGGUGAAAUGCGUAGAGAUUGGGAGGAACACCAGUGGCGAAGGCGACUUACUGGACUGUAACUGACGCUGAGGCGCGAAAGUGUGGGGAGCAAACAGGAUUAGAUACCCUGGUAGU